GAUGAACGCUAGCUACAGGCUUAACACAUGCAAGUCGAGGGGCAGCAUGGUCUUAGCUUGCUAAGGCCGAUGGCGACCGGCGCACGGGUGAGUAACACGUAUCCAACCUGCCGUCUACUCUUGGACAGCCUUCUGAAAGGAAGAUUAAUACAAGAUGGCAUCAUGAGUCCGCAUGUUCACAUGAUUAAAGGUAUUCCGGUAGACGAUGGGGAUGCGUUCCAUUAGAUAGUAGGCGGGGUAACGGCCCACCUAGUCUUCGAUGGAUAGGGGUUCUGAGAGGAAGGUCCCCCACAUUGGAACUGAGACACGGUCCAAACUCCUACGGGAGGCAGCAGUGAGGAAUAUUGGUCAAUGGGCGAGAGCCUGAACCAGCCAAGUAGCGUGAAGGAUGACUGCCCUAUGGGUUGUAAACUUCUUUUAUAAAGGAAUAAAGUCGGGUAUGGAUACCCGUUUGCAUGUACUUUAUGAAUAAGGAUCGGCUAACUCCGUGCCAGCAGCCGCGGUAAUACGGAGGAUCCGAGCGUUAUCCGGAUUUAUCGGGUUUAAAGGGAGCGUAGAUGGAUAUUUAAGUCAGUUGUGAAAGUUUGCGGCUCAACCGUAAAAUUGCAGUUGAUACUGGAUAUCUUGAGUGCAGUUGAGGCAGGCGGAAUUCGUGGUGUAGCGGUGAAAUGCUUAGAUAUCACGAAGAACUCCGAUUGCGAAGGCAGCCUGCUAAGCUGCAAC
rnacentral:rRNA from 1 species